GACGGAGGGUGCAAGCGUUGUUCGGAAUUACUGGGCGUAAAGCGUACGUAGGCGGCGGGUUAAGUCGAAUGUUAAAGCCUGGGGCUCAACCCCAGAGAUGCACUCGAUACUGGCUUGCUAGAGGGUGAUAGAGGAAAGCGGAAUUCCCCAGUGUAGCGGUGAAAUGCGUAGAUAUUGGGAGGAACAUCAGUAGCGAAGGCGCUUUCUGGGUCACACCUGACGCUGAGGUACGAAAGCGUGGGGAGCAAACAGG
rnacentral:rRNA from 1 species